GACGAACGCUGGCGGCGUGCUUAACACAUGCAAGUCGAACGGAAAGGCCUGCUUUCCCUUGUGGAUUGCGGGUACUCGAGUGGCGAACGGGCGAGUAACACGUGAGUGAUCUGCCCCCAACUUGGGUAUAAGCCUGGGAAACUGGGUCUAAUUCCCGAUAGGACUGCAGGGUGGUGCCUGUGGUGGAAAACGAUUUUCUAGUGGUUGGGGAUGAGCUCGCGGCCUAUCAGCUUGUUGGUGGGGUAAUGGCCUACCAAGGCGGCGACGGGUAGCCGGCCUGAGAGGGUGGACGGCCACAUUGGGACUGAGAUACGGCCCAGACUCCUACGGGAGGCAGCAGUGGGGAAUAUUGCACAAUGGGCGGAAGCCUGAUGCAGCGACGCCGCGUGGGGAUGACGGCCUUCGGGUUGUAAACUCCUUUCGACCGCGAGGAAGCCACCUGGUUGGAAGGGUGGUGACGGUAGUGGUAGAAGAAGCACCGGCUAACUACGUG
rnacentral:rRNA from 1 species